CUCACCCUUUGUUUAGAGUAAUAUAUAUACACUCACUUUAAUGAUAAGGAAGAAGGGAUUAGACACAGAUUUUUCACACCAAAUACCUCCGAAAUACACACCCUUCUCUCCAUUUUUGGAGACUGAUUUUUUUACACCUUGAACUCUCUGUCGAAAAAUACAGAUUUCCUUUAUUCAUUUCACACUGAUUUGGCUUUGCUUGAGUUACAAAUUGGUGUUUCCUUCCAUUUUACUAGUUUUACUCCAUCUGUUGCUGGGAUUUCGAGUUGGCUUUUUUGUUCUUGUUGAUGCUGCAUUUACUUCUGCUGUUGCUUUUUUUUUCUGUCAAAAUUCAGAGACUUAUAUUUUAUUUGUUUGGUUCUACUAUAAUCAGGUUUUGAAUGGCAAAUUUAACCAGCAAUGAUGCUAUUUUUAGCUCCUUCUUUUGUCAUUAUAGAAGGAUCUGAUUGAAAAAUGUUUGGUGACAACAGUGGAGUAAGAGCAUGUCUGGGAGACUCAAACGUAGCCUAGAGAUUAGCCAUUCCGUUUGGCAUGUUUACUUGUUGGAUAUUCUGUUGUUGUAACUAAAUAGUCAUUUGUUUCUCAUGAACAAUUGAAAGCGUUGGUGACAAACUUAGAAGUCUGGCCAGUGCUUGGCUUGAUUUUUAAGUUCCACUACUUGAAAGUGGUCAUUUAUAUAAUAGUUUAAUUUAUGUAAUGAUUUAUUUCAUCAAUGGUGGAUACAGUUGUAUAAAUGCAAAAGGAUCGAUACCUAUUAUUCAGGAGAAUAACUUUCAAUCAUG